rnacentral:tRNA from 1 species
GGAGCGGUGGCUGAGUGGUCGAAAGCGCCGGUUUGCUAAAUCGGUGAACUGGGAAACCGGUUCCGCAGGUUCGAAUCCUGUCCGCUCCG